AAAACGGCUCUUUUAAGAGCCACAAAAUAUAAACGAAAGAGUAUCU
rfam:Apis mellifera strain DH4 linkage group 7, whole genome shotgun sequence.